rnacentral:rRNA from 1 species
AUGGCUCAGGACGAACGCUGGCGGCGUGCCUAAUACAUGCAAGUCGAACGCUUCCUACCGGUGCUUGCACCGGGAAAGAAGAGUGGCGGACGGGUGAGUAACACGUGGGUAACCUACCUACAAGCGGGGGAUAACAUUCGGAAACGGAUGCUAAUACCGCAUAGAUCUUUUUGUCUCCUGGCAGAAAGAAGAAAGACGGUUUCGGCUGUCACUUGUAGAUGGACCCGCGGCGCAUUAGUUAGUUGGUGAGGUAAUGGCUCACCAAGACGAUGAUGCGUAGCCGACCUGAGAGGGUGAUCGGCCACACUGGGACUGAGACACGGCCCAGACUCCUACGGGAGGCAGCAGUAGGGAAUCUUCCGCAAUGGACGAAAGUCUGACGGAGCAACGCCGCGUGAGUGAAAGAAGGUUUUCCGAUCGUAAAACUCUGUUGUUAGAGAAGAACAAGGAUGAGAGUAACUGCUCGUCCCUUGACGGUAUCUAACCAGAAAGCCAUGGCUAACUACGUGCCAGCCGCCGC